rnacentral:rRNA from 11 species
CUGUGACUUAAUCUAUCAAGCAAGCUUAAGCCGUUAGGUGUAGGCGCAGCGAAAGCGAGUCUGAAUAGGGCGCUUAGUUCGUUGGAUUAGACCCGAAACCGAGUGAUCUAGCCAUGGCCAGGUUGAAGGUGCGGUAACACGCACUGGAGGACCGAACCCACGCCUGUUGAAAAAGUCGGGGAUGAGCUGUGGCUAGGGGUGAAAGGCCAAUCAAACUCGGAAAUAGCUGGUUCUCCGCGAAAUCUAUUUAGGUAGAGCGUCGGAUGAAUACUCUCGGGGGUAGAGCACUGGAUGGGCUAUGGGGGCUUACCGCCUUACUGAUCCUAACCAAACUCCGAAUACCGAGAAGUACUAUCCGGCAGACACACAGUGGGUGCUAACGUCCAUUGUGGAGAGGGAAACAACCCUGACCGCCAGUUAAGGUCCCUAAGUUAUGGCUAAGUGGGAAAGGAUGUAGGACUCCCAAAACAACCAGGAUGUUGGCUUAGAAGCAGCCAUCAUUUAAAGAAAGCGUAACAGCUCACUGGUCAAGCGCUCCUGCGCGGAAAAUGUAACGGGGCUUAAGUGAUACACCGAAGCUGCGGAUUCGAUCUUUGAUCGAGUGGUAGCGGAGCGUUCCGUAGGCCGAUGAAGGCAGACCCGCGAGGGCUGCUGGAGGUAUCGGAAGUGAGAAUGCUGACAUGAGUAGCGACAAAGAGGGUGAGAGACCCUCUCGCCGAAAGUCCAAGGGUUCCUGCGUAAAGCUAAUCUGCGCAGGGUUAGCCGGCCCCUAAGGCGAGGCAGAAAUGCGUAGUCGAUGGGAACCAGGUUAAUAUUCCUGGGCCGUGUGGUGGUGACGGAUCGUGAAGGUAGUUCAUCCUUAUCGGAUUGAAUGGGCUGCUGAUCGGUUCCUGGAAAUAGCCCCACUUUAAGACCGUACCCUAAACCGACACAGGUGGACAGGUAGAGUAUACUAAGGCGCUUGAGAGAACGAUGCUGAAGGAACUCGGCAAAUUGCCCUCGUAACUUCGGGAGAAGAGGGCCCUAUACUUGGGCAACCAGGUAUAGGGGGCACAGACCAGGGGGUAGCGACUGUUUACUAAAAACACAGGGCUCUGCGAAG